CAAUAGCGUAUAUUGAAGUUGUUGCAGUUAAAAAGCUCGUAGUUGGAUUUCGGGGCAGCCUGGCUGGUCCGCCGCAAGGCGAGUACUGGUCAGCCGCCCUUCCUCUCGAAAGCCCCGACUGCUCUUCGUUGCAGUGGUCGGGUAGUUCGGGACGUUUACUUUGAAAAAAUUAGAGUGUUCAAGGCAGGCCUACGCCUGAAUACAUUAGCAUGGAAUAAUGGAAGAGGACCUCGGUCCUAUUUUGUUGGUUUCCAGGGCCGAAGUAAUGAUUAAGAGGGACAGUUGGGGGCAUUCGUAUUUAAUUGUCAGAGGUGAAAUUCUCGGAUUUAUGAAAGACGAACAACUGCGAAAGCAUUUGCCAAGGAUGUUUUCAUUGA
rnacentral:rRNA from 1 species